GUGGGUAACCUGCCUUGUACUGGGGGACAACAGUUGGAAACGACUGCUAAUACCGCAUAAGCGCACAGCUUCGCAUGAAGCGGUGUGAAAAACUCCGGUGGUACAAGAUGGACCCGCGUCUGAUUAGCUGGUUGGUGAGGUAACGGCCCACCAAGGCGACGAUCAGUAGCCGGCCUGAGAGGGUGAACGGCCACAUUGGGACUGAGACACGGCCCAAACUCCUACGGGAGGCAGCAGUGGGGAAUAUUGCACAAUGGGGGAAACCCUGAUGCAGCAACGCCGCGUGAGUGAAGAAGUAUUUCGGUAUGUAAAGCUCUAUCAGCAGGAAAGAAAAUGACGGUACCUGACUAAGAAGCCCCGGCUAACUACGUGCCAGCAGCCGCGGUAAUACGUAGGGGGCAAGCGUUAUCCGGAUUUACUGGGUGUAAAGGGAGCGUAGACGGUUUUGCAAGUCUGAAGUGAAAGCCCGGGGCUUAACCCCGGGACUGCUUUGGAAACUGUAGAACUAGAGUGCAGGAGAGGUAAGUGGAAUUCCUAGUGUAGCGGUGAAAUGCGUAGAUAUUAGGAGGAACACCAGUGGCGAAGGCGGCUUACUGGACUGUAACUGACGUUGAGGCUCGAAAGCGUGGGGAGCAAACAGGAUUAGAUACCCUGGUAGUCCACGCCGUAAACGAUGAUUACUAGGUGUUGGUGGGUACGACCCAUCGGUGCC
rnacentral:rRNA from 1 species